AUGUUUGGCACCUUUGAGCAAUGUAUUAAGGUGGAGAUCCUUUCCUCCGGCGAUUGUUUAAAGAAAAAAUGGUCGAGUAUUACUCCGCCGGUUAGACAGUCGAAAUGUAGAAACAAGGACGCAUCAGAUUACAUCGAGCUCAAGCAUUCCAAUCAAGGGAGAUCCCCAAGGGAAUCCAUCGAGCAGUCAGAGGGCGACUCGAACAGUCAGCUCAAGGUCGCUGCGAGGAUGAAAUCAACAAAGGAGUGCGCAUGCAGUGGGUCCAGGUCAGAGCAGACCAUGCAGUGCAGAGUUUGUGCAGCGCUCCAGAGCCCAGACCGGCGGCAUAGUUGGUUCUUUUGCAAAGGGCAGGAGAGGAGCAGCACAUUAUGGGCUAAUCAUGCCAAAUGCAAAGGCACCAAGCCGCAGCUUUUUACCGCCCUUUGA
rnacentral:rRNA from 1 species